GUCAUCACAAAAGAAGGAUUUUGAUGGCAAGAGAUUUGAAUUGUCAAGAUUGAGCUUCCAAGGUGUGAAUAGAGUAAAGAUGCUAUUCUGUACUCUACUGUCGAUGUGUUUUAGGCAAAUCAACAAAUAAAAUUGUUAUUCAGCUAUAUUCAGUCAUUAAUAUUCUUUCAUAAUAGA